UAUUUCAGAAGUCCCACAAACUUCAGAACAAGAAAUUUUCAAUGUCUCUUCAAGACUUCAAAUUUUCCACUUAGAAGGUCUAAAUAAGAGAAAUAGAAUACAUAAGAGCAAUAAUCCCAUUAUCCACUUUCAUUUUGUGCUACAGCUACAAAUAGAUCCGGCCAAGAGCCUGUUCAGAACAGGAACCACCCCAAUUCAUCCUAG
rnacentral:misc_RNA from 1 species